UUUUAUUUAAAAGAAAGGACGAGGCUGACCAGUAACCUGGAAUGCUGGCUUGCUUCUUCAAGCUGAUGUAGAGACAUCUUAUAUACAGAACCUAAUUCACCAGACUUUAAUUCACCUGUCCGAGGACCACCCACUUCAUGGCAUUGCCCAGGCAUUAGAAUCUCUCUCCCAUGUUUUGUGAUUGGGAUCAUUUAUAUAAUUACAUUUAUAUCCAUUUAUUUCUUAUAUGAUUGAAAAUAAUACUGUCAUAAACCAUAUAUUUUACGUUUGAAGGCUUGUUUCUCAUAAACAAGGUUAACUUUUAUAUAUUAUUUGUGUUUGCCAUCAGAAUGAUAGGCAUACAUUGUCUGAUACGUUCAGAUAUUGUUGUUUUCGCUAGGUGUAUUUGUAUUAUGUUAUUUUAUGUCUUUCAUGAUUACUUUAGAAUAAGUGUACUUAUGAGUCUUAUUUCUGUCGGGCAUGUUUCUUUACUAUGUUCGGAGAAUGUGUCGUGAAGUGUUUGAACAUGUACUUUGUAUUGAACUUUGUAUAAAACCUUUUCCGUUGUAACUGAAAGGGAUUAUUGAUUACACCUGGUUCUUGCCAACUUCAGUGUAUCCGUUUGAAUCAGUGCAACCGAUAUAUGCCGCCUUCUUUAAAAUAGUGUAGAAGUACUCCAGCAAUGUCAACCAAACUUAUGGAGAUAAUAGUGUUACUUGGACCACAUUAACUUGGUAGGGGACCGUUGUUUUGUCUUUGGAAAAGAUCUUCAUAAUAAAGAAGCCUUAUAAUAUAACAUUAAAUUUAACAUUGCAUCGGCAAAGGCCUAACAAUCUUAUUCCAAAGCAUCAAUAUCAUGAAAAAGGAAGUAAUGCUAUUGCGUUCGGUUUAUUUUAUUACUGACUGCCAGAAGACUGCAUACUUCUGUUAUAAUAUCGUUUUUAUGUGAAUAUGCUGUAUUAUUUGAUAACAGUACUUUUAGCCAAAGUAUAUUUGUUUUGAUUGUUGUUAUGCUUCGUUGACUGUUUUCCUUCAUAACUGUGUUAUACAAUUUUGGUGAACGUGCAAUGCUAGUGUUGUGGAACGGAACAUGAUUAUCAGCUUUUCGCUUAUGUGUAUUCAUUUUUAUUAAAUGAAACUGUUUUAUUGAAAAUGUUAAAUGUAUUUAUUUAUGUAUUCAACCGUUUCAAAUAUAUUCCUUAUUAUGCAAUUUACAUAAAUGACAAAUUGAA